GUCCACGCCGUUAAACGAUGUCUACUAGCUGUUCGUUGGUCUUGUACUGUGAGUAGCGCAGCUAACGCACUAAGUAGACCGCCUGGGGAGUACGGUCGCAAGAUUAAAACUCAAAUGAAUUGACGGGGGCCCGCACAAGCGGUGGAGCAUGUGGUUUAAUUCGACGCAACGCGAAGAACCUUACCUACUCUUGACAUCUAGCGAAGAUUGCAGAGAUGCAGUUGUGCCUUCGGGAACGCUAAGACAGGUGCUGCAUGGCUGUCGUCAGCUCGUGUUGUGAAAUGUUGGGUUAAGUCCCGCAACGAGCGCAACCCUUAUCCUUAGUUGCCAGCACGUAAUGGUGGGAACUCUAGGGAGACUGCCGGUGAUAAACCGGAGGAAGGUGGGGACGACGUCAAGUCAUCAUGGCCCUUACGAGUAGGGCUACACACGUGCUACAAUGGUACGUACAGAGGGAGGCAAGCUGGCGACAGUGAGCGGAUCUCUUAAAGCGUAUCGUAGUCCGGAUCGCAGUCUGCACUUCGACUGCGUGAAGUCGGAAUCGCUAGUAAUCGCAAAUCAGAAUGUUGCGGUGAAUACGUUCCCGGGCCUUGUACACACCGCCCGUCACACCAUGGGAGUGGGUUGCAAAGAAGUAGUAGCUUAACCUUCGGGAGGGCGCUUACCACUUUGUGAUUCAUGACUGGGGG
rnacentral:rRNA from 1 species